rnacentral:rRNA from 1 species
AGCGGCGCACGGGUGAGUAACACGUAGGUAAUCUUCCCUCGAGCGGGGGAUAACCUUCCGAAAGGAGGGCUAAUACCGCAUAAGACCACGGAGUCGAAAGACUCUGAGGUCAAAGCCGACCACUAUACAUAAGCUGGCACUUGAGGAUGAGCCUGCGGCCCAUCAGCUAGUUGGUAGGGUAAUGGCCUACCAAGGCGUAGACGGGUAGCUGGUCUGAGAGGAUGAUCAGCCACACUGGAACUGAGACACGGUCCAGACUCCUACGGGAGGCAGCAGUGGGGAAUCUUGCGCAAUGGGGGCAACCCUGACGCAGCGACGCCGCGUGAGUGAUGAAGGCCUUCGGGUUGUAAAGCUCUGUGGAGGGAGACGAAUAAGCCAUGGCUAACAUCCAUGGUGAUGACGGUAUCCCUUUAGCAAGCACCGGCUAACUCUGUGCCAGCAGCCGCGGUAAGACAGAGGGUGCAAACGUUGUUCGGAAUUACUGGGCGUAAAGCGCGUGUAGGCUGCCCUGCAAGUCAGGUGUGAAAGCCCUGGGCUCAACCUAGGAAGUGCACUUGA